AUUGAACGCUGGCGGCAGGCUUAACACAUGCAAGUCGAGCGAGCUGCGGACGGGUGAGUAAUGUCUGGGAAACUGCCUGAUGGAGGGGGAUAACUACUGGAAACGGUAGCUAAUACCGCAUACCAUCCGAUUUGCCCAGAUGGGAUUAGCUAGUUGGUGGGGUAAUGGCGCACCAAGGCGACGAUCCCUAGCUGGUCUGAGAGGCUGACCAGCCAAACUGGAACGGAGCAACGGGCCAGACUCCUACGGGAGGCAGCAGUGGGGAAUAUUGCACAAUGGGCGCAAGCCUGAUGCAGCCAUGCCGCGUGUAUGAAGAAGGCCUUAGGGUUGUAAAGUACUUUCAGCGGGGAGGCGUUACCGACAGAAGAAGCACCGGCUAACUCCGUGCCAGCAGCCGCGGUAAUUC
rnacentral:rRNA from 1 species